rnacentral:rRNA from 1 species
UACGUAGGGCGCAAGCGUUGUCCGGAAUUAUUGGGCGUAAAGAGCUCGUAGGUGGCGUGUCGCGUCUGCCGUGAAAGCCCAUGGCUUAACUGUGGGUCUGCGGUGGAUACGGGCAGGCUGGAGGCUGGUAGGGGCAAGCGGAAUUCCUGGUGUAGCGGUGAAAUGCGCAGAUAUCAGGAGGAACACCGGUGGCGAAGGCGGGUCUCUGGGCCGAUACUGACGCUGAGGUGCGAAAGCGUGGGGAGCAAACAGG